rnacentral:rRNA from 1 species
CAAAAUGCGAUACUUGGUGUGAAUUGCAGAAUCCCGUGAACCAUCGAGUUUUUGAACGCAAGUUGCGCCCGAAGCCAUUCGGCCGAGGGCACGCCUGCCUGGGCGUCACGC